UUGGGCUUUCUGGUCCAUUCCUUUUUUAUAAUCCGUCCAUUUUAAGUGUAAGGUUUAAAUCCUGAACAAAUUAGCUAUAUAUUUCGAACGAAUUCUGCAACUAUACACAAACUAAACAAACCUAACCAAAACCAUUUAUUUGUAUCUGUUUACAGGUAAAGGGUAAAUUUCAUCUGAAUCUUUGCCGAUCAAAGCCUUUGUUUUUUUGCUUAGUUUGUUUGAUGUUGGCUAUGUUUAUUUAGUUUGUUAAUGAAUCAAUUAUACGGAUUCUAAGAUUGUGUAAGUAGCUUCGCAGGGAAACAAACGUUUUUCGGGAAUAGACCAUUUUUCCCCACUUCUAUC